AGCAGCCGCGGUAAUUCCAGCUCCAAUAGCGUAUAUUAAAGUUGUUGCAGUUAAAAAGCUCGUAGUUGAAUUUCGGGAUCAAUAUGUUGGUCGUGCCUUGGUACGUACUGGCAUUAUUGGUUUCUACCUUCUGAAGAACCUCGAUGUCAUUAAUUUGGUGUCUUGGGGAAUCAGGACUGUUACUUUGAAAAAUUAGAGUGCUUAAAGCAGGCUCGCGCUUGAAUACAUUAGCAUGGAAUAAUGAAAUAGGACGUUUGAUUCUAUUUUGUUGGUUUCUAGGAUCGACGUAAUGAUUAAUAGGGAUAGUUGGGGGCAUUAGUAUUCAAUUGUCAGAGGUGAAAUUCUUGGAUUUAUUGAAGACCAACUACUGCGAAAGCAUUUGCCAAGGAUGUUUUCAUUAAUCAAGAACGAAAGUUAGGGGAUCGAAGACGAUCAGAUACCGUCGUAGUCUUAACCAUAAACUAUGCCGACUAGGGAUCGGAUGAUGUUAAUUUUUAAUGU
rnacentral:rRNA from 1 species